rnacentral:rRNA from 1 species
UACGAAGGGGGCUAGCGUUGCUCGGAAUGACUGGGCGUAAAGGGCGCGUAGGCGGUUCAUACAGUCAGAUGUGAAAUUCCCGGGCUUAACCUGGGGGCUGCAUUUGAUACGUGUGGGCUUGAGUGAGGAAGAGGGUUGUGGAAUUCCCAGUGUAGAGGUGAAAUUCGUAGAUAUUGGGAAGAACACCGGUGGCGAAGGCGGCAACCUGGUCCUUUACUGACGCUGAGGCGCGAAACGUGGGGAGCAAACAGG